rnacentral:rRNA from 1 species
AACGUAGGACACGAGCGUUAUCCGGAGUUACUGGGCGUAAAGGGCGGGUAGGUGGUGCGAUAAGACUGGUGUGAAAGCCUUCGGCUUAACCGAGGGAGGACACUGGUGACUGUCGGACUUGAGGCAGAUAGAGGGGUGUAGAAUUCCGGGUGUAGUGGUGAAAUGCGUAGAGAUCCGGAGGAAUACCAGAGGCGAAGGCGGCACCCUGGGUCUGACCUGACACUGAUCCGCGACAGCAUGGGGAGCGAACGGG